rnacentral:lncRNA from 1 species
AUCUUCGCGUCCGAUUCGACAAAGCGGCAAGUGGUGCUCGCGUAAUUCGCGUAAUGGGACGAGCAGCCGUCAUUUCGGGCAAUAAAUUUUCAUCGUUUCACGUGGACAAUGUACGACUAAAAGCGACGAAAAAGGCGCACAAUUUUCAAACUGUGUGUGGCCUCGUCGAAUAUAACCAUCUCUCCCUCUCUCUUCCUCUUUUACUUUCGUACAGGCAUACUCCCGCUUUAAAUUGCACCGACAAACGGUCAGAAAACGAGUUGUGUUCAGUGAACAGAAAGAGAGAAA